GCCAUAGCUCAGUGGUACAGCACCUGCUUUUCAUGUAGAAAUACUUGGGUUAAAUUCCCAGUAUUUCCA